CAAUCUUUGUGGAUUUUCUACAACAUGACAAUGGGAAUUAGAGAUGCUUCCAUUUUUACACCACCGAAAAUCUGUUUUAAAAAGGGAACAAGAGUGGAGAAAAGACCAUAUACUUUACCUCAUCUUACACCUUUUUA